GGCCUGGUGGUCUAGUAGUAUGAUUCCUUCUUAGGGCUUUGUUGUACUUGGAGGAGGCCCCGGGUUCAAUUCCCGGCCAGGCCC